rnacentral:lncRNA from 9 species
UUUUUGUCUUUUUUAGGGCGCAUCUGUGGCAUAUGGAGGUUCCCAGGCUAGGGGUCAAACUGGAGCUGUAACUGCAGACCCACACCACAGCCACAGCAACUCAGGAUCUGAGCCCAUCUGCGACCUACACCACAGCUCAUGGCAAGCCAGAUCCUUAACCCACUGAGUGGGGACAGGGAUCGAACCUGCGUCCUCAUGGAUACUAGUCAGGUUCCUUACCUGCUGAGCCAUGACAGGAACUCCUCUCCCUCUCCCUCUGUCCAUGCUUUCCCCAGACUCCUUCAGGAAAAACUCCAUCAGGGCAAACUCCCACAACACAGCACAGAGGGCAUGACCUGGGUCAGCCCGGCAGGUUCAAAUCCUAGGUCCACUGCUUACUGUGACUUGGAUGAGCCCCUUCACCUGGAAAAGCCUUGGUGUCUUCUAACUUUACAGAAUCACCGGGGGAAUGACGUGAACAACUAAAGCACCUAGCACAGGAGUUCCCCUCAUAGCUCAAUGGGUUAAGGACCCAACGCUGUCUCUGUGAGGAUGGGAGUUCCAUCCCUGGCCUCAGUGGAUUAAGGAUCUGGUGUUACCACAAGCUGCUGUAUGGAUGCUGCAGCUGCGGCUUGGAUCCAGUGGUGCUGUGGCAUAGGCCGGCAGCUGGGAUUCGACCCCUAGUCUGGGAACUUCCAUAUGCUGCAGCUGUGGCCCUAAAAAACAAAAUACAAAAAAGAAAAAAAGAAGGCACCUAGCACAGUCCUAGCACUCUGUAUGUGCACUAUAAAUAUUACAUUAUUAUUACUGCUGCCAUCCCUGUUGUUGAUGCUGUCAGUGUGUCCCUCCCAGGGGCACCUGACUGGGUGGUCACUCUCCUUGGGAUGAGCUAGGUACUGGCCCAUCUGCCCAUCUGGCCUCUUCAGCCCCCACCCUCCACGUCAUCCCUCCCUGUGCCCUAGGCUCACAGAACACCCGGCCCUCACAGACGGCUGUGUAUGUGGACAAGCUGUUCUCUCCUGGAAAGCUCCCCACCCCCUUCCACUCGCUCUCCCUGCCGUUCAAUUCCUCUUCUGAAGCCGGCCUGCUCCCCUCCCCCAGGCACACCCUCCUCAGCCCUGCAAGCCCUGGGCUCUGCCUGUACCAGCCCCUGCCAUGGAAUCCAUGGUUCUAGGUCCCCACUGCCCGUCUGUGAGCAGCUCAAGGGCAAAGACGGGGUCCCCGUGGCCUCUGUGCCCCCAGCACUUGGCCCAGCCCCAGGCAGGAGGGAGACUAAGCAAAUGUUUGCCGAGAAAACGAGAGGCUGGGUCACCUUGCACCUCAAUGCCACGUCUGCGUCUUCUGCCC